rnacentral:rRNA from 1 species
CGGGUAAGUUCCGACCUGCACGAAUGGCGUAACGACAGCGGCGCUGUCUCCACCCGAGACUCAGUGAAAUUGAAAUCGCUGUGAAGAUGCAGCGUUCCCGUGGCAAGACGGAAAGACCCCGUGAACCUUUACUAUAGCUUUACACUGAACGUUGAGUUCGUCUGUGUAGGAUAGGUGGGAGGCUAUGAAACUGUGGCGCUAGCUGCAGCGGAGCCAUCCUUGACACAACUCCGAGCCCACGAGACGGAUGCAUAUCUCGUAUGC